UGAGCAAUCUGCCCUUCUCAUCGGAAUAAGCGUUGGAAACGACGUCUAAUGCCGAAUACGACCUCCUUUCGCAUGAUCGGAGGUGGAAAGCUCCGGCGGAGAAGGAUGAGCUCGCGGCCUAUCAGCUAGUUGGUGUGGGUAAUGGCCCACCAAGGCGACGACGGGUAGCCGGCCUGAGAGGGUGACCGGCCACACUGGGACUGGGACACGGCCCAGACCUCCGUACGGGAGGCAGCG
rnacentral:rRNA from 1 species